rnacentral:rRNA from 1 species
CUACUACCGAUUGAAUGGCUCAGUGAGGCGUCCGGACUGGCCCAGAGAGGUGGGCAACUACCACUCAGGGCCGGAAAGUUCUCCAAACUCGGUCAUUUAGAGGAAGUAAAAGUCGUAACAAGGUCUCCGUUGGUGAACCAGCGGAGGGAUCAUUA